rnacentral:rRNA from 1 species
ACGAACGCUGGCGGCGUGCUUAACACAUGCAAGUCGAACGGAAAGGCCCUGCUUUUGUGGGGUGCUCGAGUGGCGAACGGGUGAGUAACACGUGAGUAACCUGCCCUUGACUUUGGGAUAACUUCAGGAAACUGGGGCUAAUACCGGAUAGGAGCUCCUGCUGCAUGGUGGGGGUUGGAAAGUUUCGGCGGUUGGGGAUGGACUCGCGGCUUAUCAGCUUGUUGGUGGGGUAGUGGCUUACCAAGGCUUUGACGGGUAGCCGGCCUGAGAGGGUGACCGGCCACAUUGGGACUGAGAUACGGCCCAGACUCCUACGGGAGGCAGCAGUGGGGAAUAUUGCACAAUGGGCGGAAGCCUGAUGCAGCAACGCCGCGUGCGGGAUGACGGCCUUCGGGUUGUAAACCGCUUUCGCCUGUGACGAAGCGUGAGUGACGGUAAUGGGUAAAGAAGCACCGGCUAACUACGUGCCAGCAGCCGCGGUGAUACGUAGGGUGCGAGCGUUGUCCGGAUUUAUUGGGCGUAAAGGGCUCGUAGGUGGUUGAUCGCGUCGGAAGUGUAAUCUUGGGGCUUAACCCUGAGCGUGCUUUCGAUACGGGUUGACUUGAGGAAGGUAGGGGAGAAUGGAAUUCCUGGUGGAGCGGUGGAAUGCGCAGAUAUCAGGAGGAACACCAGUGGCGAAGGCGGUUCUCUGGGCCUUUCCUGACGCUGAGGAGCGAAAGCGUGGGGAGCGAACAGGCUUAGAUACCCUGGUAGUCCACGCUGUAAACGGUGGGUACUAGGUGUGGGGUCCAUUCCACGGGUUCCGUGCCGUAGCUAACGCUUUAAGUACCCCGCCUGGGGAGUACGGCCGCAAGGCUAAAACUCAAAGGAAUUGACGGGGCCCCGCACAAGCGGCGGAGCAUGCGGAUUAAUUCGAUGCAACGCGUAGAACCUUACCUGGGUUUGACAUGGAUCGGGAGUGCUCAGAGAUGGGUGUGCCUCUUUUGGGGUCGGUUCACAGGUGGUGCAUGCCUGUCGUCAGCUCGUGUCGUGAGAUGUUGGGUUAAGUCCCGCAACGAGCGCAACCCUUGUUCACUGUUGCCAGCACGUUAUGGUGGGGACUCAGUGGAGACCGCCGGGGUCAACUCGGAGGAAGGUGGGGAUGACGUCAAGUCCUCAUGCCCCUUAUGUCCAGGGCUUCACGCAUGCUACAAUGGCUGGUACAGAGAGUGGCGAGCCUGUGAGGGUGAGCGAAUCUCGGAAAGCCGGUCUCAGUUCGGAUUGGGGUCUGCAACUCGACCUCAUGAAGUCGGAGUCGCUAGUAAUCGCAGAUCAGCAACGCUGCGGUGAAUACGUUCCCGGGGCUUGUACACACCGCCCGUCAAGUCAUGAAAGUUGGUAACACCCGAAGCCGGUGGCCUAACCGUUGUGGGGGAGCCGUCGAAGGUGGGACUGGUGAUUAGGACUAAGUCGUAACAAGGUAGCCGUACCGGAAGGUGCGGCUG